rnacentral:rRNA from 1 species
GACAGAGGGUGCAAACGUUGUUCGGAAUUACUGGGCGUAAAGCGCGUGUAGGCUGCUCAGAAAGUCGGAUGUGAAAGCCCUGGGCUUAACCUAGGAAGUGCAUUCGAAACUUCUGAGCUUGAGUUCUGGAGAGGAAGGCGGAAUUCUCGGUGUAGAGGUGAAAUUCGUAGAUAUCGAGAGGAACACCGGUGGCGAAGGCGGCCUUCUGGACAGUGACUGACGCUGAGAUACGAAAGCGUGGGGAGCAAACAGG